UGACGUCAAUUAACUCAUAUUUACUUCCUCAAACAACCAUAUAAUAACAAAAACACGCAAAUCAAUUCGUAUUUAUAUCACUAAACUGCACCAAUUAAAAUCCAUAGUAAUAAUUAACAACGUAGGUAACCCCAUAAUGGAAUACAAGACUUUAGAACUCAACCUCUCAUCAGCAAAAGAUCUCAACAACGUUAACCUCUUCUACAAAAUGGAUGUUUACGCCGUUGUUUCAAUCUUCGGCGAUCCUCUUCACAAGCAAAAGACUAAAACACCCCUUGAUAGAGAAGCUGGCACUAACCCCACGUGGAAUUUUUCCGUAAAAUUCACGUUCAACGAAUUGCUAGCUCGCCAGAAUCGUUUGACGCUCAAAAUCACGCUUCGUUGUUUGCGCAACCUAGUCGAUAAAAACAUCGGUAGCGUCAAAAUUCCACUCAGGGAGCUUGUUCAUGACCAUACCGGCGACGGAGAAUUAUUCCAACAUGUUAGUUAUCAGGUUAGAAAACCCUCUGGGAAACCAAAAGGUUCCUUCAAUUUUUCCUACAAAUUUAAUCCUCCAAUGAAGGAACAUGCUACAGGUUAUCCUUCUCCGGCGGUGGGGUCCACAUCUGCGCCUCACACCGUCGCAAAUCUAUCUCCUCAACCGCAAUAUCCUGCCGGAUAUGUGUACCCUCCGCCUCCACCGUAUCAUCAACCGCCUCAAAUGGGUUACGGUUACCCGCAGCAAAUGGAAUAUGGUUACCCGCCACAAAACGCUUAUGGUUACCCGCCACAAAACAAUUACGGUUAUCCUCAACAAAACGGUUACGGGGUACCCGGCUCAACAGGCAUAUUCGUAUGAGAAACCUGCAAAGAAGAGUAAUGUUGGAAUAGGAGUGGGAGCUGGAUUGGUUGCCGGAGCACUCUUGGUGGACUUUUGAUUGGGGAUAUAUAUGAUAUUUCAUGCUGAUGAAUUUUAGUUUUAAAUAUUUUUAUUUUUAUUUUCUUUCUAUUAACAUUUUAUUUUAGGACCUCAUAUACGUUUACCUUUUGGGUUUUUGAUCUAUACGUAUUUGUUCAUCUGUUCAAGUCAUAAUAUGACAUUGCAAUGAAAAUAAAUGGUACUAUAUGUUUGCAAGCAA